rnacentral:rRNA from 1 species
UACGUAGGUGGCGAGCGUUGUCCGGAUUUACUGGGCGUAAAGAGCGCGCAGGCGGUCGUCCAAGUCGCGUGUGAAAGCCCCCGGCUCAACUGGGGAGGGUCACGCGAUACUGAUCGACUCGAAGGCAGGAGAGGGUAGUGGAAUUCCCGGUGUAGUGGUGAAAUGCGUAGAUAUCGGGAGGAACACCAGUGGCGAAGGCGGCUACCUGGCCCACUCUUGACGCUGAGGCGCGAAAGCUAGGGGAGCAAACGGG